UGGCUACCAGGGUCGUACCUGGAGAGUUUCCAGUACUCUACCAGUCUUGGUUGCGGGAGGGAGAAUCAAGCAGAGGCACACCCGUUCCAUUCCUAGCUUGGGCAGUGGCUAGCGAGUGGAAGGCCAUCUGCUACAAGU
rnacentral:snoRNA from 1 species